CCAACGGCCCUCCUCAGGGCCACCAUUUUAAACAUAUUUUUUCCU
rfam:Strongyloides ratti strain ED321 Heterogonic genome assembly, chromosome: 1